UACGAAGGGGGCUAGCGUUGCUCGGAAUUACUGGGCGUAAAGCGCACGUAGGCGGCUUUCUAAGUCGGGGGUGAAAUCCUGGAGCUCAACUCCAGAACUGCCUUCGAUACUGGAAAGCUCGAGUCCGGGAGAGGUGAGUGGAACUGCGAGUGUAGAGGUGAAAUUCGUAGAUAUUCGCAAGAACACCAGUGGCGAAGGCGGCUCACUGGACUGGUAUUGACGCUGAUGUGCGAAAGCGUGGGGAGCAAACAGG
rnacentral:rRNA from 1 species